rnacentral:rRNA from 1 species
UGGGGAAUUUUGGACAAUGGGCGAAAGCCUGAUCCAGCAAUGCCGCGUGUGUGAAGAAGGCCUUCGGGUUGUAAAGCACUUUUGUCCGGAAAGAAAUCCUCUGGGUUAAUACCUCGGGGGGAUGACGGUACCGGAAGAAUAAGCACCGGCUAACUACGUGCCAGCAGCCGCGGUAAUACGUAGGGUGCAAGCGUUAAUCGGAAUUACUGGGCGUAAAGCGUGCGCAGGCGGUUUUGUAAGACGGAUGUGAAAUCCCCGGGCUUAACCUGGGAACUGCAUUCGUGACUGCAAGGCUAGAGUAUGGCAGAGGGGGGUAGAAUUCCACGUGUAGCAGUGAAAUGCGUAGAGAUGUGGAGGAAUACCGAUGGCGAAGGCAGCCCCCUGGGCCAAUACUGACGCUCAUGCACGAAAGCGUGGGGAGCAAACAGGAUUAGAUACCCUGGUAGUCCACGCCCUAAACGAUGUCAACUAGUUGUUGGGGAUUCAUUUCCUUAGUAACGUAG